ensembl:lncRNA
CUAAUGUACAGGAAUUGUUAAAAGCAUGCUGGAUUUCCUCAGGAAAGAGAGCCUAUAUCCUCAACAGUUUUAUGUAUUUACGAAAAAACUGAACUAACAAUUGAGUUUCUGCAUCAUCCUGGCUUUUAGUGCUGUAGAAAGUUCCUCUUUUUCCAGAAGAAUAAGCCGUUAGCCAUUUAUGUUUCUGCUUUUCAUUUUUGCAGUUAUUUUCCAGAAGACUAUUCAGACUUUUACAUUCCCAGUAAUAGCAUUUACUUAACUGAGGAUAUUUUAUUGUGCUCAGCACAGAAUAUUGGUAUGCAUUGCCAUCUCAGGUUCAUGGAGUGGAGCCUACAGUUGCCCUAAAUCAGCCUUCUAAAAUUCUCCAUAGAUGCAAGCUGAUCACUGGGGUAGUUGAUCAGAGGGUUAUGGAUGGCUUACCAACCCUGAGGUGAUGGAAUGAUGUCUACCCAAGGUCUGGUGGUGGCUCUCCCUUACUAGGAGGGACAGCAGACAAGUGGUAGGGCGUUAACCAUUGCUUGCCUCCUGCAAUAGCAAAGCUAAAGCAAAACUUGUGACAGCCAGAAACCACCCUGCAGCUCACUGAAAUUACACCUUUCCCUGUACUUUUCUUUAUCAGCAUGCUUAUCUUUGUGUUCCUCGAGAACACUGGUUGAAAUCAAAAGUCCACUAUUUCUUCCUCUAACCAUUGCUCAAAUUAAAGAACAAACCUGCAGUGAAAGAGAAAGUGUUUCCGAACUUACAGAGAUCUCUCAUAAAGAUACUGUACCAAUCAGUUUGAUUCCUGUGGCUUCAUACUAAAAGCAAAUGAUAUUUCACAGCAGCUGUCCAAGUGCAUAGGCAUGUAUAAAUUACACAUAAUGCUCUUUAUUCGCCUUUUGCUUUUAAGUGACCAUUGUGUUCGUAGAAAUGCAAAGAGAUUCUUUUUUCUUUUUAAGGAUAGUCAAUGAAAAUACCUAGGUUUUGACUCAAAUAAGCAUGAAUCCUUCUAUAUAUGAAACAAGGUUAAUUUUCUAUUCAGUGUUCUAUUUGAAAUGAAAGUUUGUUUUAUAUCAAAAUCUCUCCUGGGCAACUAGUAAAGAAAUGUGCCCAGUAUGAAAUUAUAAGCCCACUGACAUCAACAGGAAGAUACAUGUUUUAGUAAAAGUCAUUUUGAUUUCUGAAGGAAGAUUGGAAAUUGAGUCAUUAGAUGGUAAUUAUUAUUUCUGAGUACUUUCAAGGAACCUUAUCUUGAUGUCUUUUCUAUGGGGCAGAAAUUGCUUGUAGAUUGAAUUAAUCCCUUACAAAUUUCAUUGUAAUCCAUUAGAAGUCCCAGACAAACAUCUGGGACUUUACAGAGCUGGUAAAUGGUUCAGAAAGCGUUGUUAUAAGACUUGAGUUGUCCUUAUCAUCAGGGAAGACAAAAAAAGUAUACGAGAUAUGAGCCACACUUUCUAGUGUGCUUCUAAGAGGUACUUAGAUGCUGUAAUAGAGAGCAUUGCCUCCCAGAUGUUCUGGGAAAGGCCAGGUGGCAGUUCAGUGUGUCUGCAGUCCUUAUAUGGGAUACAUAUGUGCUUUUUCCUAAAUUAUCUCUUCCUAGUAGAAUCAUACUGUUUGUUUAUUUCUGUUAUUGAAACUUACACAUUUAUCCUUAGAAUUAUGCCUAUUGGGUUGUAUUCCUAUCUACUUUUGUACAAUACUCUUUUGGUGUAUUCUUAUGCCACUUUAAUGAAUAUACCUGCAUAUGGUGAACUCCAUUACCUCCAGUAUUUCCUCUACAUAUUUCUACAUUGAAUUCCAAAGUUUUCCUGGUUUUUUGGUUGAUAUAUUCUUCUAGAGCCAUUGUAUGGAAACUGUUGAAUCACAGCUGGAACCUCUGAUUGACCACCUGAGGCAAGCACUGAGUCAGCCAUGAGAGCACAGGUGAAGGCAAUUCACCUGUGUGACCAGAAGGGGUGGAGCCAGGCUCCACCUCUCCUAGACCCCAUUUAAGGUCUGACUGCCACUGAGGAAGGAUCUCUUCCUGGAGGUUGCUCCUUGUGGAGUUUUUGUGAGCCUACCACACUGUGAGCCUUUUACAUCAUGGGUCCAAAUCUGAAGUAAAAAUCUAUGACAAAAGUAACCUGCAGCCCAUCAUCUGCACAGACCAGAAGAAAAAUGUGUUUUAAAGGCACUUCAGAGAUGCAUUCAACUUCACUAGUUUAUGUGCAAUACAGAAUAUCUUCAGAAUCAUUCAAGAACAAG